UCCUUAGAAGUUCCUGAAUAAAUGGUUGUCAUAGGAGUUCGAAGUUGAAGGAAUGGUUUAAGUUCUAAUGGAAAUUAGGAAGAGAGGGUAACUGAAAAUUGUAAUGAACGGACGAGAUUAGAUUUCGAAUUAAUGAGGUGCAACGGUCCAGAUCAUGCCACGUCGAUAGCAGGUUGUUAUAACCAACUGAAGACGGACAGUAGAGGCAUCAUAACAGAAGUAAUACCCUCUCCCUUUUUCAUCGAAUCUUUCCCUUCUCUUUUCCCCAGUCUCUCUUUCUUCACUCACUGAUCUUCUUCUUCUUUCUUCUUCAGGUUCUGUAACAAUGGCGUCUGAUUAGGAGUUCUUUCAUUUCAGUAGUUGUAAUACUAAUUUUCUUUUUGUCAAAUAAACUGAAAAUUGUCCCAAAA
rnacentral:lncRNA from 1 species